rnacentral:rRNA from 1 species
UGGAAUUCCUGGUGGAGCGGUGGAAUGCGCAGAUAUCAGGAGGAACACCAGUGGCGAAGGCGGUUCUCUGGGCCUUUCCUGACGCUGAGGAGCGAAAGCGUGGGGAGCGAACAGGCUUAGAUACCCUGGUAGUCCACGACUGUAAACAGGUGGGCAACUAGGUGUUGGGGUCCAUUCCACGGGGUUCCGGUGCCCGUAGCUAACGCUUUUAAGUACCCCGCUGGGAGUACGGCCGCAAGGCUAAAACUCAAAGGAAUUGACGGGGCCCCGCACAAGCGGCGGGGCAUGCGGAUUAAUUCGAUGCAACGCGUAGAACCUUACCUGGGUUUGACAUGGAUCGGGAGUGCUCAGAGAUGGGUGUGCCUCUUUUGGGGUCGGUUCACAGGUGGUGCAUGCCUGUCGUCAGCUCGUGUCGUGAGAUGUUGGGUUAAGUCCCGCAACGAGCGCAACCCUUGUUCACUGUUGCCAGCACGUUAUGGUGGGGACUCAGUGGAGACCGCCGGGGUCAACUCGGAGGAAGGUGGGGAUGACGUCAAGUCAUCAUGCCCCUUAUGUCCAGGGCUUCACGCAUGCUACAAUGGCUGGUACAGAGAGUGGCGAG